rnacentral:lncRNA from 1 species
CGCUCCUCUUUAUAUAUAAAGCAACAAUCGAUACAAAUAUAGCACAUACAAACACUAAUACUGUUGGGGAUACCAACUUACAAGAGAUGCUCAAACAGCUACAUUUAGAGCCAAAGAACAGGGACAAAGCAAGCAAAGUUAAGCACUAGAACUAAAGGAGCUCGCUCGAUCCUAAUAAUGAAGCACAAGUCGUCCUGGAGUGCCUCGACACAUCUUGCCCAAAAGGCCACUUGGGUCUGACGAUUCACGAUACCAUCAGUUGAAGGAGGAGGGGCCAAGUAGAGACGCCCCAAGGAGGAGGACGAUGUACGUGGAUGCCAUCGUUGUUGAUCUGACUGAGGUCAAGCACGAC